AACCGUUGGUAUACUUGUCGAACUGAGA
rnacentral:sRNA from 1 species